AACCGGCAAGGCAGAGACAGCAAGGGCGGUUCGUUGCUCCAGCCUUUCCGUUCACCUUCACACUCCUGGGCCAGACUAUACUUAAUCAUAGGACCUACUGAAGAGAUAAGUCUUCAGUAAAGACUUAAAGGUUGAGACUGAGUCUGCGUCUCUCACAUUGGUAGGCAGACCAUUCCAUAAAAAUGGAGCUCUAUAGGAGAAAGCCCUACCUCCAGCCGUUUGCUUAGAAAUUCUAGGGACAAUUAGGAGGCCUGCGUCUUGUGACCGUAGCGUACGUGUAGGUAUGUACGGCAGGACCAAAUCGGAAAGAUAGGUAGGAGCAAGCCCAUGUAAUGCUUUGUAGGUUAGCAGUAAAACCUUGAAAUCAGCCCUUGCCUUAACAGGAAGCCAGUGUAGGGAGGCUAACACUGGAGUAAUAUGAUCAAAUUUUUUGGUUCUAGUCAGGAUUCUAGCAGCCGUAUUUAGCACUAACUGAAGUUUAUUUAGUGCUUUAUCCGGGUAGCCGGAAAGUAGAGCAUUGCAGUAGUCCAGCCUAGAAGUAACAAAAGCAUGGAUUAAUUUUUCUGCGUCAUUUUUGGACAGAAAAUUUCUGAUUUUUGCAAUGUUACGUAGAUGGAAAAAAGCUAUCUAUCCCCUUCAUCCCUGGAUACUGGUUGAUCACAGUAUCCUGCAUUAUUGUAAAAAGAGAAACCUAUUUAGUGAUUCAAAUGCACUAAUUGAUAUAUUUUUGAUUAUAUGUUAUAUUGGAACCCUGUUGAGCAGAGGAGGGGUAGUUUGAUAUGUUAUAUUGGAACCCUGGUGAGCAGAGGAGGGGUAGUUUGAUAUGUUAUAUUGGAACCCUGGUGAGCAGAGGAGGGGUAGUUUGAUAUGUUAUAUUGGAACCCUGGUGAGCAGAGGAGGGGUAGUUUGAUAUGUUAUAUUGGAACCCUGGUGAGCAGAGGAGGGGUAGUUUGAUAUGUUAUAUUGGAACCCUGGUGAGCAGAGGAGGGGUAGUUUGAUAUGUUAUAUUGGAACCCUGGUGAGCAGAGGAGGGGUAGUUUGAUAUGUUAUAUUGGAACCCUGGUGAGCAGAGGGGUAGAAAAUAACCAUUGUGUAGCUCUUUUUGUCACAUAUUGUUUGCAUUUGUUUUCACAAAUUAUUGACUAUAUACUGCUUUGUGUGUCUCACUCAUCCAGCCCUUAAAAGAGCCUAAUAGGAUACUAAAGUAAUGACGUGUCAAUAUGACUGGCUUUGUGCAUUGAAAAGAUAGACUAGAAAAUGUUCCACAUUGAUAUAAUUUCGCCCUCUAUCCUAGUGUUGCCAAACAAAUGGGAAAUGCAGUAACCAUUGUCUUCAGGGCUGAGAAUGAGAUUGAAUAAUUUAUCUUGGAUGUGAUUAAUUUAGAUUAUUUGUCAUUGAUUUUUCAUUUACUGUUGUUUUUUGUUUGUUAUGGUCAACCAGAGAGUAGCUGGUGCUGGCUGGCUUGAAGUUGCCUCUUUAGUACAGAUAUAGGAUCAGCCUCCACUCCCCCAAAUUCCAACAUUAACCAUAAGUAGGGAUGUCAAAGCAGAUCCUAGAUCAGCGACAAGAGGUAACCUAGUUCUACUCCAACUGGCUCGGUCCAGAGAAGUGAAGUGUUGUUCGGAACAGGUCAGAGAAGUGUUGUUUAGGACAGGUCAGAGAAGUGUUGUUUAGGACAGGUUAGAGAAGUGAAGUGUUGUUCAAGACUGGUCAGAGAAACAGGUAAAUAAUGUUCAUACACAUACGUUUGCAAACGUUCUGUUAUGUGAAAUGACUUGCAUCUCAGCUGUAUGUAAUCAAAUUGCUUUCCUUUUGUUUUGUGUGUUGCCUUAACUGUUGUCUUAAUCCUAUAAUAUUAACUAGAGCAAAUGUGUACUCAGACUAUAUAAAAAAUGCUUAAGAUAGUGAUCACCAUAUUAUACUUUAAGACUGACCAACUUUCAAUUAACAUCGACUAACUUUAACGCUGACCAUAUACCAAAUGGUAAAAGAUAGUAGCGAUCACCAUUGCCAUAUUAUUCUGUCACUUGAUGAUUAUCCAAGCUUCUGUGUUAAACAAUACAACUUUGUCUGCCUUAUGUACCAAAUGUUACUUUUGGUGACAAGUGUAAUUAAUUUGGAGAUAAAAUAUAUACACUCUACUAUUUUGGCUUUAAGUAUUUUAUCUACAACAGACAGGUAACAUUGACCAACACUGACCAACUUUCAGCAACUUUAACGCUGUGUAAUGGGGCAGUGAGUCGGGUGCAGGUGAAACGUUUUAACAAAACCAAGAACACGACACUAACAUAGAGCAGAACGCCGAUACACAACAACAAUACCAACUGGUGAGUGA
rnacentral:lncRNA from 1 species